rnacentral:rRNA from 1 species
GACGAACGCUGGCGGCGUGCCUAAUACAUGCAAGUCGACCUUAGUGGCGAACGGGUGAGUAACACGUGGGUAACCUGCCCAUCAGAAGGGGAUAACACUUGGAAACAGGUGCUAAUACCGUAUACUGAUGGAUGGACCCGCGGUGCAUUAGCUAGUUGGUGAGGUAACGGCUCAACAAGGCCACGAUGCAUAGACUGCCUGAGAGGGUGAUCAGCUACACUGGGACUGAGACAGGGCCCAAACGCCUACGGGAGCCAGCAGUGGGGAAUCGUGGGUAAUGGACGCAAGUGUUACCGAGCAACGCCGCGUGAGUGAAGAAGGUUUGCGUAUCGUAAAACUCUGUUGUUAUAGAAGCGGUAUCUAAACAAAAAGCCACGGCUAACUCCGUGCCAGCAGCCUCGGUAAUAC